GACGAACGCUGGCGGCGUGCUUAACACAUGCAAGUCCAACGGAAAGGCCCUGCUUUUGUGGGGUGCUCGAGUGGCGAACGGGUGAGUAACACGUGAGUAACCUGCCCUUGACUUUGGGAUAACUUCAGGAAACUGGGGCUAAUACCGGAUAGGAGCUCCUGCUGCAUGGUGGGGGUUGGAAAGUUUCGGCGGUUGGGGAUGGACUCGCGGCUUAUCAGCUUGUUGUUGGGGUAGUGGCUUACCAAGGCUUUGACGGGUAGCCGGCCUGAGAGGGUGACCGGCCACAUUGGGACUGAGAUACGGCCCAGACUCCUACGGGAGGCAGCAGUGGGGAAUAUUGCACAAUGGGCGGAAGCCUGAUGCAGCAACGCCGCGUGCGGGAUGACGGCCUUCGGGUUGUAAACCGCUUUCGCCUGUGACGAAGCGUGAGUGACGGUAAUGGGUAAAGAAGCACCGGCUAACUACGUG
rnacentral:rRNA from 1 species